UACGAAGGGGGGCUAGCGUUAAUCGGAAUUACUGGGCGUAAAGCGUGCGCAGGCGGUCUGUUAAGACCGAUGUGAAAUCCCCGGGCUUAACCUGGGAACUGCAUUGGUGACUGGCAGGCUUUGAGUGUGGCAGAGGGAGGUAGAAUUCCACGUGUAGCAGCGAAAUGCGUAGAGAUGUGGAGGAAUACCGAUGGCGAAGGCAGCCUCCUGGGCCAACACUGACGCUCAUGCACGAAAGCGUGGGGAGCAAACAGG
rnacentral:rRNA from 1 species